GAUGUACGCUGGCGGCGCGCCUAACACAUGCAAGUCGAACGGCACCCCUCCUCGGAGGGAAGCGAGUGGCGAACGGCUGAGUAACACGUGGAGAACCUGCCCCCUCCCCCGGGAUAGCCGCCCGAAAGGACGGGUAAUACCGGAUACCCCGGGGUGCCGCAUGGCACCCCGGCUAAAGCCCCGACGGGAGGGGAUGGCUCCGCGGCCCAUCAGGUAGACGGCGGGGUGACGGCCCACCGUGCCGACAACGGGUAGCCGGGUUGAGAGACCGACCGGCCAGAUUGGGACUGAGACACGGCCCAGACUCCUACGGGAGGCAGCAGUGGGGAAUCUUGCGCAAUGGGGGGAACCCUGACGCAGCGACGCCGCGUGCGGGACGGAGGCCUUCGGGUCGUAAACCGCUUUCAGCAGGGAAGAGUCAAGACUGUACCUGCAGAAGAAGCCCCGGCUAACUACGUG
rnacentral:rRNA from 1 species